UACAGAAGGUGCAAGCGUUACUCGGAAUUACUGGGCGUAAAGAGCUCGUAGGCGGUCUGUCGCGUCUGCUGUGAAAACUCAGGGCUUAACCCUGAGCUUGCAGUGGGUACGGGCAGACUAGAGUGCGGUAGGGGAGACUGGAACAAACGGUGGAGCGGUGAAAUGCGUAGAUAUCGUUUGGAACGCCAAUGGUGAAAACAGGUCGCUGGGGAUGAGCUGACGCUGAGACACGAAAGCCAGGGGAGCAAACGGG
rnacentral:rRNA from 1 species